GAUACCUGUCUCAUGAAUUUCAUGGAAAGAGACCUGGGAAAAAUGAAGUGGAGAAACGGAUGAAGAAGAAUGAACAGGAAGGAUCGAUGAAACAGAUGAGCUCAACAGACACUCACUUGGACCACGUAGCCUCUUGCAACAGAAACAGAAAGAAACACAGUCUCCAUUAGUGGUCCUUAGUGGCAGUAAACAAAUGGCAACCAUCUC